UGAGUUCGAUUCUGAACUCCCAUUCUUUCCUCUUUGGCAAAAGUUGCCCGAAAAUAAAAUUUUGUAUUUUUGGGUUCAUCAUCUUCUCGCCCAUGUCUUCUCAUCCCAAACCCUAGUUUCAGUUCUUCGUCCACCAUCCUCCGGCGCCUCCCUAUUUCCGGCCCUUUUCUCCUCCUUUCGCCGCCUCCGUCUUCGACGCCUCCGGAUCUUUCCCGUUUUCCGCAUCCUUAUCUCCUUCACGACUAUCUACGCUGCUGAUCUUUUGAGAGUAUUGCUGGAAGAUUUGAUAUGGCCAGUUUGGCUUCCGGAGAUUCCUCACAGAUUGGAGCUCCGGAAGUGGGGUCACUCAGAUCACCUCAAGAGAAGCCUGAGGAUGGUGGUCGAUGGUACUUUUCUAGGAAGGAAAUUGAAGAGGAUUCACCAUCUAGACGUGAAAGUAUUGACCUGAAAAAGGAAACAUACUUGCGCAAGUCAUACUGCACCUUUCUACAAGAUUUAGGAAUGAGACUCAAAGUACCUCAGGUAACAAUUGCUACAGCAAUUAUUUUCUGUCACCGGUUUUAUCUCCGUCAGUCCCAUGCCAAGAAUGAUAGAAGGACUAUUGCCACGGCUUGUAUGUUUCUUGCUGGAAAGGUUGAAGAAACCCCGCGUCCAUUGAAAGAUGUCAUCCUUGUUUCUUAUGAAAUAAUUCAUAAAAAGGAUCCUGCUGCAAUUCAAAAGAUUAAACAAAAAGAUGUGUAUGAACAACAAAAAGAACUAAUUUUAUUGGGAGAAAGGGUUGUACUUGCAACUCUCGGCUUUGAUCUGAAUGUGCAACAUCCAUAUAAACCUCUUGUUGAGGCUAUAAAGAAAUUCAAGGUUGCACAGAAUGCCCUUGCUCAGGUUGCAUGGAAUUUUGUCAAUGAUGGGCUGCGGACAUCUCUUUGCUUGCAAUUUAAGCCCCAUCACAUAGCAGCAGGUGCCAUCUUCCUUGCUGCCAAAUUCCUUAAAGUCAAACUUCCUUCAGAUGGCGAGAAGGUCUGGUGGCAAGAGUUUGAUGUCACCCCACGCCAAUUAGAGGAGGUUAGCAAUCAAAUGUUGGAACUGUAUGAACAAAACAGAGCACCACAAAACCAAGGUAGUGAAGCUGAAGGUAGCGUAGCAGGAGGGGCUACUAACCGACCAACGUCAAGAACUUCAACUGAAGAGCAAGUACCAAAUAACAAUACUUCUCAAGCUGUAGCUACCACUAAACCCGGAACCUUGAAACCACCAAAUGCUCAGCAAUUGCCUGAUCUUUCAAGCAAACAAACUGGACCCUCUAGAGGAUCCCAUAAUCGGAGUAAUGACUAUGGGAACUCAGAUCACAAAACCCUUGGAGAACCCAGACCUGUGGAGCCCUUGGCUUACCCAGAAAAUUUGGGCGACGAUCAAAAUAUGAGAACUGGCCCAGAGUGGAAUAGUAGUGAAGAUAGUAAAGAAAAGAAUAUUGGGGGAAAUAGAGCAAGAGAUGGGGGAGAUUCGAAAGAAAAAUACCAUGACAAUAAUGUAGAAUUCAAAGAAGCUGGUCAAACCCAAUCUCCAUCUGAAAUGAUUGAGAAAAUAGAUACAAACAAGUUGAAGGAACUACGUGAAAAGAGAAGGAAGUCCAGAGGAGAUGUGAUUAGGAAGAAAGACUCGAUGGAUGAGUAUGAUCCUAUUGUGAAAGAGCUGGAAGAGGGGGUUGAAUUAGCUGCUGCUGAGAGUGAGAAAAUAAAGCAGGAAAAAAAGCAGAAUUGGGUGCAGCCCUCUUCCCGGCUAGAUAAUGACAGCUCCCACCAUAGCAAGAAUCUUGAGACUUCUGGAGAUCGACACCAUAUGGGCUUAAAGAGUCAGCAGUUACAUGGACUCGAUAUUGAGAAUGUAGAAGAAGGUGAGGUGUCUGCGUUAGAUGAUUCUGGCUGGGAUUAUCAAUCACCUAAGCCAAAUGAUCGAAAAAGGAAGGCUGGGAGCCCACCUGACAAAACAAGUGAUGGAAAAAGAUGGCCAGGGGAUUUUUCUGAAGAGAAAAACAGGAUCGGCCGCCUUGGCUAUCCUGAUAGGGAUCACAAAAGGCAUGUACAGGAAAAUCAUGCCUGAAGCUGUUUGUCUUUCUAUGAAGCAAAUUUGGGUUGUUAGCUGCCUACAUAUUGUUUGUAGUAGAGCACAAUGCAGCUUCAUGAUUAAAAUAUAGUGACGCUGCACUCUUGCGACUGCAGCAUGUAGAGCUGUUCAUAUUAUUUUUAUUGCGGCCAGUUGUUUUGCGCUAGAGUUGGGCCUGGUUAGCAUAAUCCAAGCCUCACUGCUGAUGGUUGGAUUUCUUGUAUAAACCAAGGAAGAAGAAGCCUCUCAGCCUGUUAUGCUCAGGUAGAGCAUGUGAGCAGGGAAAUGUUAAGGGUGAACGUGGAGGAAGGGGCACCCAGGUGCGUCAUAGAUGCUCCGGGUGAUGGAUGUCACUCCAGCCUGCUCUCCCUCUGUAAGAAGCCAAUUAGGAAUGCCCGAAGAUUGGUGAAGCAGUGCAUAGAGCUGUUUCCUUGGCAAAGAGGACUGGGCUCAUGAGCAAAUUUCAGUUUUAUUCUGUUGAUGUUGUAUGUAACUUACACCUGCAGAAUUAACCUGUAAGCAGGUUUGGUUUUCUGGCAUUAUCUGAUACGAUGCUGGACAACAUUUCAAUUGUUCAUGGGAAUCAAAUUUUGUACUCUCUCUCUAUCUGUUGUGAUUUGAUUUUAAUAAAACUAUAUUUUCUGGGUUUAA